rnacentral:rRNA from 1 species
GACAGCAGUCGCCGCGGUAAUACAGAGGGUGCAAGCGUUAAUCGGAAUUACUGGGCGUAAAGCGCGCGUAGGUGGUUUGUUAAGUUGGAUGUGAAAGCCCCGGGCUCAACCUGGGAACUGCAUCCAAAACUGGCAAGCUAGAGUACGGUAGAGGGUGGUGGAAUUUCCUGUGUAGCGGUGAAAUGCGUAGAUAUAGGAAGGAACACCAGUGGCGAAGGCGACCACCUGGACUGAUACUGACACUGAGGUGCGAAAGCGUGGGGAGCAAACAGGAUUAGAUACCCCGGUAGUCCCUGUCUCUUAUAC